AAGUAUUCCAAAAAGCUAUUACAUCAAAUGAGUGGCUUUGUGGGCAUACUUCCAACACGUUCAUCCUUAGAUCAAGCCCAACGGCCUUUUGGAUCAAUCACACAUCCACAAAUCAACACCUUACGGAGAUCGAAUUAGAGGAUCAAAUUUGAGAGAGAUUGUAACCCAAAAUCAUCAAAUACAAAUAUUAUUUUGUGCACGUUGUUCUUGUCUCUUUCCUUUUAGGAAAUUUUUCGUGUUCACAUAUGGAUUAUGCCUCGUUCUCACGGAUGCCAAGUUAUCCAGAUUCUUAGGUAGCUUAGUAAGAACUUCAAACUUGCUUCCUCUCAAGCCUCAUGAUUGGCGUAUGUUUGACAAUAAGGAUACUACCAUAGAUGAAGUGGAUCAUAUAUGUAACUAACACUACAUUAUGGUUUUUAGACUUGUAAGAAUGAUGCAAUUAUUAGCUAUUUCAGGGCGGGAUAAACUGAUUCUGUAAUAUAUUUUAAACAAAUUGUUUAUGCAUACACUAAUUCUGCAUACAUAUAUUUAUGUAAAACUAAUUCUGCAUAUAUCUUUUUACGUAAAUUGAUUCUACAUAUAUCUUUCUUAAAUAAACCGAUUAUGCAUAAACUAAUUAUGCUUAAUUAUAUAAACUAAUUUUGCAUAAUAUAAUUGUUUUCUAUAUUUUUCAAGAUCAAAAUCAAUCAACAUUAGGAGAGAAAAUAAAAACAUGAAUCAAAACAAUGACAUAGAAAAAUAAAUAACAAAUCUGAAAAACGAAAAACCACUUCAGAAAACUAGAUACGAAACUAAAUCACAAACAAAAACUUCAAAAUCAAAUCAUACUUGCAAAAUUUAAAACAUGCACACAAUCAAAACUAAAUUACAUAAAAAUUCAUUUAAAAGCUAAAUUGGAACAAAACGUGAAAAACAAAAUCAUCGAACAACACAGAUGAAAUUAGAUCAAAACGUACCUUCAAAUAUCAAAACUCAAAUCACAAGCUAACGAAAUCCAUCAAGAACCGAAAGGAAGCAAGAAAAAAUAGAGAGAAAU
rnacentral:lncRNA from 1 species